UUCCAGCUCUAUUACUUUCAGCUCACACAUAUGUAUCGGAGCGAUCUCGUCGGAUAAGUACCCCGGGUUCUCUAAUUCUUUGUGUGGAGAUUCUCCACGUCCGUCGUCUACCGGAGCCAAGUCACCUCCGGCUAGAGCAGCCGGAUUGCGUCGCAUGAUGCAUGAUUGAUGAAAUUUGGAAAAUUUAUUUUUAACCUUUUUUCUUUUCUUUGCAAUCAAACAUGUCAACCUCUUUUUCUUCUUGUCUGCAACCGAGUAGGGUAAUCACGUUUCUUGUUUGUGCAUCAUUGAUGAAAUCUGGAAUUUUUUCUUGACCUUUUGUCUUCUUCUUUGCAAUCAAACAGGGCAACCUCUUCUUCUUGUCUUCAACCGAUUAGGUAUUGUAAUCAUUGAAACCGAACAGGGCAACGGAAGAGUGACCGUUUAAAUCAUUUAAGCAAGGUUUCUUGACCUCCCUCCGUAUUCUAAGGUUUCUUCUUCUCAAACUGAAUAGAGGCAACCACAGUUUCAAGUUUUCUUCCUUUAGCAUUGGACUUUGGUGAGGAACUCCCUUUACAGGUUGAUAUGAGGCGGCAAUCAYACAGAUUACAGUUGUCCAAAUCAACUUCAAAUGAGCCCCAAUCAGAUGAACCUACACCACUACAGCAGAGCCAAAUAGAGACACCACAACCUGAGUUACCACCUCAACAAAGCCCAACAAAUGCACCACAAGUUGAAGAGGACUCUAGCCAAGCACAAUCACCUCAGCAAAAUGAUUCUAUGGAUCAUAGUACAUUUAUUAUGAUGGAUGUAACAAAACAACUAGUUAUUAAACAUUUAUUAUGAUGGAUGUAUAGAAACUUUAAAAUUUGGAUACAUAUGGGUAUAUUAUAUUUUGUUAUU